rnacentral:tRNA from 1 species
GUUAAGGUGGCAGAGCCCGGUAACUGCAAAAGGUCUAAACCCUUUGAACAGGGGUUCAAAUCCCCUCCUUAACU